GGCGGGGUACGGCCCGGCCGUGGCGAGCCGAGCCGGGCGGCAGGGAGCAGAGAGCAACGCCAUGGCUUUCGCGCGGUGGUGGUACGCCAUGCAUGGUGACAAGAAGGCAAGUGGAGCUUCUUCCAAAUCAGGAGAGAAAGGAGGAGAUGUGGCAGAGAAGAAACCAGCUAGUGUCAGCCAACCCCUCAAAACACAGAAAAGUGAAGCACCUUCUGCUGUUAAGAAGCAGUCCCCUGCUGUGGAUGCAUCAAAACCUCAAACCAUGAAGCCAUCUGAAACAAAGCCAACAGACUCUCAAAAUAAACAGCCAUCUGAAGAGAGGCAAAAGGAACCCAGUGGUGCAAAAAGCCAAACUUCCCCUUCUCUGACAACAAAUAAUGCAGAAAAAGUAACUACAGCUCAAGCUGGCCAGCCUCCACAAGCAAUCUCCAUAGAGACAGUAAAGCCCAAAUCUGAGAAGAUGUCCAUAGAGGCUGGUGCAGCCAGUGCAGGUGCAGCUGGUGCAAGUGUGGUUCCUGUGGCUGAUAAGUCAAGCGCCGAGCCUGGAAUGGAUGUGUUAGCUCUAGAUAGCCUAAUAGAUACCCUGGGUGGACCUGAAGAAGAUGUCCCUACUAGUCCUGUUUACACUGGUCCAGAAGUUACGGAAGAUAUAUCUUCAAGAUACCUGGAAGAACUGGGUAAACGAGAAGGUAGUCUCCCUCCAGAGUAUGUUAAAUUAUUGAAGAGCAAAAGGGGUGGCAAAGAUGGAUUCCCACCAAAAGCAGAUGAACGAGAGGAAAAACUUAUGACAGAUGAUGAGCUUGCAGAGGCCUUGUCAUCGGACUUUACCUGUAGUACUGCUUUUGCUGAAGAAAAGACAAGUGUGACAGAGAAACCAAGUAAGGAAGGAGAAAUUGUGAAAGCACAAGCAGCAAGUUCAGUCAAGACCUCAGUUCCUCCUAAGGAAAAGAAAACAAAAUCAGAAGAGAAAAUUAAAGAUGAUGCAGUGGAAGCUCUUCUUGAUACUCUUGGUGGACCUGAACCAGAACCUGAAGAAGAUCAGACCCCUGUUGUAGAGGUGUCAGAGGCUAAAGCUAAGGAGAAAAAAUUAAAAAAGGCUGGAGAACUUGAUGAUACGAUACCUCCAGAAUACAGGCUAACAGCAAAGUUGGAUAAAGAUGGAAAACCGGUAUUGCCAAAGCCUGAAGGAAAACCUAAGCCUUUGAGUGAAUCUGAUCUUGUUGAUGAAUUUUCAGAAGACUUUGCCUGCCCUGCCCAGCCUGCAGUACAAUCCAAACCAUCAAAGCCCAGCAGCACAUCCAAAAAGCCUUCGAAUCCUGUGGCUGCAAAAACUACUGAGGAUGAAGCAGUCCCUUGUGCCACAGCUUGCACUGUGCAGUCUUCAGCUGCAGCAGCUGUGUCUUCAGUUGGCCAAGUGGCAGAUGAAGCACUGGAAGCCUUAUCUAGUACCCUGGGAAAGACAGAGCCUGAUCCAGAUGAAAAGAAGCCUGCUGUGGACAAAGUUAAGGAGAAAACCAAACAGGAACAACACAAAAAACUGGGUGAAGAUGAAGAAACAAUUCCUCCAGAGUACAGAUUAGCAGAAGCAAAAGAUAAAGAUGGAAAACCACUCUUACCAAAACCAGAAGAAAAGUCCCAGCCUAUGAGUGAAAAUGAUCUUUUAGAGGGUUUGUCAGAAGGAUUUUCCUAUUCUCCAUCACCAUCUGCACCAUUACCUACACCAACGGUAAUAAAGAAAGCCAAGAAGGGCAAAAAUUCUGCAGAUUCCUCCAGCAUUGUCUCUGCUGCUACAGUUUCUUCAGUGCACUCAGCAGCUCUUCUGGCUUCUACCUCCGGAGGGAAAGAGAUGGAUGAAGCCUUGGAUCUCUUAUCUGAUUCCCUGGGACAGAGGGAACCUGACCCUGAUGAGAACAAACCGGUUAUGGACAAAGUAAAGGAAAAGGCUAAAUCUGAACACAGAGACAAACUUGGAGAAAGAGACGAUACUAUCCCACCUGACUAUCGAGAACUUCUGGAGUCAGGUGAGCAGGUAAGGAAAAGUUGGUUUUAUUAACUUUGUUAGUUUGGACUUGCAACACCAUAAAUCUGUGCGUAUGAGCCAGUCUGUCCUCAUUGGUUUUAUCAGAAGAAGGAAGCUGAGGAAGUGUGUAGUAUAUUUUUAUAUUUGUAUUAAACAUGUAAAUAUCCUACAGAUAGAGUAGCUCUGUAUUUCCUUGCAUGCAUUUAAUUCAAAAAACAAACAAAAAAAGUAGGUUUUGGUUUGCUGUGGGGUUUUGGGGGGAUUUGAUUUGUUUUGUUUUGUUUUAAUUGAGCAGUCUGAACAAAUAGAUCAUUUUGAACCAUCCAGUAGCCAUCAGUGUCCUGCAGAUUUAGCAGUAUAGAUUCCAGUGACACUGGCCCAGUGUUGUAGGUGCUCUGGAAAACUAGGUGAAAAAAAGUGUCACCCUUUAAACAACUUGUCUUUAUAAUCUGCUUUUAAACAGGACAUACUUGCAAACUGUGGGUAGUAAUGCUUAUUCAUUCCAAGUAGUUUCAUUCUGAGUUGGGAAUAAAGCAUAUAAAUAGGUAUUACCUUGGUGGUAUACCUAAAGCCUUGUAAAACUGCCAUUCACUGGAGCACGUGGCUGCUCUGACAGUGGUUUGAUCUUUUCUGGAUGGGAAAAUUGUUUUUCCAGUAGACUACACAGAUAGAAAGAUGAUAUUGCAAAUGUGGUAAUAGAGCAUGAAAAGAUACCGUGAACUGUCUUUGAGUACAUAGCACAAGAAAUAAAGAAAUCAACUUUCUUCGUGAUCUGUAAUGUCAUACAUAAGUAUACAUGUAUCUUAAACCUGAUCUAACCAGUUCAAAAUGAGGAUGUAAUCCCAAGGGUAAACCAGUAAAGCCAACAGCAAAGGGUGAUGUGAAACACAAAGAAUCAAAGGUAACAUUUAUGGUGUUUUUGUUCUGUGCUUGUUUCAUGUCGUGUCCUCUGAUCUGUUUUCCAAAGUAGCGUCAUUAUAGGCUCAGGGCAUGAUUCAUUGCAAAUUCUCAUAAAUGCUAUUGAAUGGAGUAAGUUAUAGUAACCGUGUGGAUAGUAAAACUUCUAUGAAGAUUAACUGUUCACAAUAAUUACAGUUUUUAUAUGCAACUACACUGUGAACGUUCAGGUCCAGUACUGAAAGAAAUUGCAUGUCUUGGAAACCUCAAAUAGACAUCUCUGUCCUAACAUAUGUGUAGAGCCCAGGUAUAGUUUAGUUUUGGUUUUGGGUUGGUUUUUGUUUUGUUUUGUUUUUUAAGAAAAGCAUAAUUAAAGCAGACAUAAAUCCCUGAAACAUUAAGUUGACUGGGGGAAGUAUUGCAUAUUGUGUGACUUCAGAAUUAAAAUUAUUGCAGAAGCCUGUGGAUGACUCUGCAGCUAUCGACGCCCUGUCAGGUGACUCUGAUACUUGCGCAAAGGCUCCUGCCACACCACAGCACUCAAAGGACAAAAGUGGAAAGGAAACCACUAAGCCAACCCCAAAGGCUAAAGGAAAACCCAAAGACCCUAAAACGGCAAAGGAACAGUCCUCCAGCAGCAAAUCUGAGAAGCAGAAAACAAGCUAAACGUUAACAUUAUUGGGAUCUUGGUGCAUCACAUAAAACAUCUUCUUUCUCUUGGUGGAUAAUAAUUCCUGAAGAACAAAAGCUGAUGCAAAAACCAUAUGGUUAUGCUGGGUGGUCUUUGUAUGGUGAAACUUGCUGGACUUUUUCCAUAUUUUCUUUUUUCCCAGUAGUGGACUAAGUUGUAUUAGGUUUUUUUUUCUUCCCAACCUAGCCAUUAAUUGUAUUAUACUCAUAUACUUUGACUUUUUCGUAAUUUUCUUCCGUUUUCAGAGGGAAAGGAUGCUUUAUAUUUGCAAGAAAUAUAUUUCAUAGUAGCAAUGCCAAAGAAAAAAAACCUGCAGAUUUUUGCACAUAAUCUCCACAUAGUGCCUGUAAAUCUCAGAAGAAUUUGUAUGUGCUAGCAUUUUUAACAUUGCAGCGAAUGCAUUAAGUAUUCUGGAAUAUAUUGAGCUUUAGUUAUCCUCAGCCUGGCUGUGCAUUCUUUCAGCAAGCCAGUUCCUGGUAGACCGUACAAGUAAGCUGUGGUAGGUAAAGACUGUAAAACUGGGGAUUAACUGCUUCAUCAAGCACAUGUAGUAAUAAAAGAGGUAUUUUGGAUGCUGCCUUAAUUGUAGUUAAAACAAGAAAAACACACCAGAUAAGGAUUUUAGGUUUCUACUUCUAGUGGUAUCUGUACUGUUAUCUUGCAAUUUCUGGAGUCUCCUGGACUGAACAAAUACAAAUCCUAGUGUAACAAUGACACCAUUACCAUCACAGCAGUGGAAAUAAAGAAGGUACACGAGCAUUACCAGAGAUUAAAGAGAAGUUCAAGUCAACAGGCGCACUCCUUUUUAUUUUAUUUUAAUUUGCACUGUUUCUAGUCCUCGCCUCUGUUCCUUGCGCUGCAGCAGGGAAUGUAGGGCAGAAGUUCGUGCUGCAAGGAACAUCAUGAUCACCUGCUCUGCAACGAACAGGCACAAGUAGGUGCCUCUUGCAAGUCUGCUGCAGACCAGGCUGUCCUGACAGAGGUGGCCAAGUUCCUCCAUGUGUUUUCCUCUGUCUUCACGCGUGUACCGCUUCUCCGUGAAGAAGGCCAUACCAACAUUCGAGACCAAAAUCUGACUCCAGUAUGUAGCAUUGCAGACAGAGACAGCCCGGAGAUUUAAAUUGGGGAUAUUUAGACUCUUGACUGUACUUCGCAGUCUGUACUGAGAACCUGUGUCACACUAAUAAAGUUUUUAAGAAUGCA